AAGGGGAAGACUUACACUAUGAAGCUAGCCCAGAAGAGGGUGACUAGAGUACUGAGGAGUUUCUACCUGGAAGGGCUGUAAGACAACUGCUAUGUUGUGAGCGGCUCUAUGGAGAGGCCCAUGUGGAGGGAAGUGAGGAAGGCCUCUGGCCAACAGUCCAGGAGGAAGUGAAGCCCUCAGUCCAACAGCCUGUGUGGAACUGAACCCUGCAAACAACUCUGUGUGUGA
rnacentral:lncRNA from 1 species